CCAAUCGUCUUCUCCACUCUCCGCUCGCCGCCGCCGUGCUGCUGCACGUUCUCACCCUGCCGCCGCCGCCCUGCCCUGGCGCACAGCACGCGUGCUUGAUCGCACCGAUGUUGGCCGCUCCGCUCGCCACUGCGUUGUAGCCCUUGCUUACUGCACGCACCACCAAGCAGCCAUCACGGCUGGGAUCUGAUGGCUGGCAGGCGAGGCACCGGAGGCGGACAGCCUAGGCCUCAGGAGUGCGGAGGCGAGGUCGGGUGGUGGCUCGGCGAACUACAGCAAGGGGCGUCAAGGUGCAGGCUUGGCCGGAGGAGGUGGGCCCAGAUAUUCGGGGGGACAAGGAGGAUGAGAGGGAACCUCCUGCAGUGGACGACGAAGAAGGGGAGUAGUACCCCUCCUCAGCGGACCAAGAUGACCUACCAUGCCGGAGGCGAAGUGUUCAGCGGCAGCGGAUUUGAAGGUGGCGGCAGUAGCAGAUCGGCGAGUUGAUUGAAAGGCUUCUAAUAUGUGAUAUUCACUCACAAUUUGCAUGAAGGAAUGCCCACAUCGGCUAUAUAUCAAGAGGAUCUGGGUAAUUCAUGUUAUCUUUAAUUUCAUUGAUACUUCAGUAAUAGUAUGGAAUAGUACUAUGCAAUCCAAUUCUUUCUCCAGGAGCCAAUAGCCCAGUUCUUACAUUUUCUGUUUUUAUAGAUGUCCUACUAUCAGUUCUAUUGUGAAAUGCUUCGGUCUAUGAUUUUUGUUGCGGAUUGUUGUUUGCAGGCAAUAUCUGAAAACCUGAAAUUAUUGAACAUGCAGGCAUGAGUUCUGUUUACAUAUUUUUAAGAAAUUUGGAACAUGUACUCUUAAUAUUA